rnacentral:misc_RNA from 1 species
AGGCCCAUGCCAUCCAGGAUUAGCUGAUUUCAAUGGCACCCAAUUCUUCUCAAAGCUCUUGCCAUUAUUGGGUUGCACAGAUGCUCGGGACUGAACACCAGCAGAGUUUGGUGGAUUUGUGCCAAAAGUAAACUUCCUGGCCUGAAUGUGUUCAGUGAAUUUGUUCAAUGUAGGCACAUGAAUGGACCCAGCAGGUGCAGGUUGUUUAGCUGAACCAGCAGGCUGUGUAGCUGAGCAAACAGGAUUUUCGUCGCCAUCAGUUGAAGAAGAGAUCUCGCCUUCUUCUCUAGUUUUGAUGUGGGAGUGAGGUGGAUUAGGAUUUUCAGAAAUAGAAGGAUUAAGUGACUUGGAUUUGGUAUUCUUCAUCUUGAGUUCAUUGGUGAUGUUCGCCGUCUUUCUCUCUCUAUCUAAAAACAGAAGCCGAAGCGCCUCUUUCCUUGUUUGAUUUCCGCGCCUUUCUGUAGGAAACACGACAGUUAGAAGCAGCCAGUAAUCAGUUACGCUGAGCAAAUCAAAUGAAGGAAUCAAAA